UGUCUUCUAAAUAAAGACCAGUAUGAACGGCUAAAUGAAGACAAACCUGUCUCUUAUGAUCAAUCAGUGAAACUGAUCUUUCAGUACAAAAGCUGAAAUAUCUCCAUAAGACGAGAAGACCCUGUGGAGCUUAAAACAAACCACUACAGCCCUAAUGCAUGCUAGUACAAUGUUUUAAGUUGGGGCGACUUCGGAACAAAACAAAACUUCCGAGCACGGAGACACCCCCUCCAACCAUGGCCAACAAGCCGAAGCCAAAGACCCGACCCGGCCCCGCCGAACAACGAACCAAGUUACCCCAGGGAUAACAGCGCUAUCUUCUUCAAGAGUCCCUAUCGACAAGAAGGUUUACGACCUCGAUGUUGGAUCAGGACACCCAAAUGGUGCAGCCGCUAUUAAAGGUUCGUUUGUUCAACGAUUAACAGU
rnacentral:rRNA from 1 species